rnacentral:rRNA from 1 species
AAUGAACGUUGGCGGCAUGGAUUAGGCAUGCAAGUCGGGGGAAUCCCAGCAAUGGGGGAACCGGCGUAAGGGGCAGUAAGGCAUGGGUACCUACCUUGGGGUUCGGGAUAGCCAUCAGAGAUGGUGGGUAAUACCGGAUGACGUCGUGAGACCAAAGAUUCAUCGCCCUUAGAGGGGCCCAUGUGAUAUUAGCUAGUUGGUGGGGUAACGGCCCACCAAGGCGAAGAUGUCUAGCGGGUGUGAGAGCACGACCCGCGCCCCUCGCACUGAGACACUGGCGAGACACCUACAGGUGGCUGCAGUCGAGGAUCUUCGGCAAUGAGCGCAAGCUUGACCGAGCGAUGCCGCGUGAGCGAUGAAGGCCUUCGGGUUGUAAAGCUCUUUAGUGGGGGAGAAAAGCCGCAAGGUGUGAUCUAUCCCAAAAAUAAGCACGGGCUAAGUUCGUGCCAGCCGCCGCCGUAA